rnacentral:rRNA from 1 species
GUGUGUCUCAAAGAAUGAAACACAAGUUUACGACCUUCAUCGUCUACAAGCGGCAGAUCCGCUCUCUCCGCAUCGAUCUGAAUCAUUCUGGCCGUCAUAGAGGUCGUCAAAUUAAAAAUAGC